rnacentral:tRNA from 1 species
GGUGGUGUGGCUCAGUGGUAGAGCUCUGGCCUUGCACAUAGGAGAUCCUGGGUUUGAUCCCCAGCACCACAA